ensembl:lncRNA
AAAAAGUGGAACUUUUGGAUAAUCCAGUUACUCCUGGUAGGGUUCCAUGUAGGAGAUCUACAUCCCAUCUCAUGAUAAAGCCAUUCCAAAGAGCUUUUACGGCAAAGUUGGAAUAGCUUGCCAUUUUGUUGAGUAUGAUAGCAAGUUGGGCUUCUACCCCCAAAAAAGCCACUUGUGAGUAUUUUAAACAUAGGGAAUUUAGAACAAAAUUUGUGAUAGUAUUCAGAGAGCUGAAAGGAGAAGUCAAGGAUGGAGAGAACACAAUUAGCAAUAGUAGAAAACCAGUGCUGUUCCUGGGUUGGUAGGCAAAGGAAGGAAGUGUUCAUAAAACCCAAGGCCACGAUCACUUGGAGGAAGCAGCACCUUGGCAGGGAGAGCUGGAGCCUAGAAGUGGUGCAGCCUCAGGCAAAGGAAAAAGAGAAGGAAUAUUACUGUUCUUCUUUCUCCAACUGACUGCCAUGGGCAGUGAUACGGGACAUAGGGCGUGGCAAGGCUGGCUGCCAAUUACAAAAGCCAAAGCACCUGGAGGACCCCGUAUAUAGAACAACUCCGGAGCUCUCACCAGACGUGGAUGGCGUAAAAGAAGAGCGGGCAUCGUGGAAAGCUGCUAUCGUGUGGUUUUCCACGAUAGCUUGUGCUGCGUUUCUCAGACAGGGAGUGUAUUUUUAUUUUUGCUUUUAUCCUCUUUUACUCUUUGUUCAGCCCAAGUUCUCUCUGCAGAGCUGGUUUCUUCCGUACCCAUUCACCCCGCACUUUUCUCAUAAACUUUUUGGCAUGGUUAUUAGCUUUGCUUGUCCAAUUCUCUGUAGAAGCAAAAAGGACCUUGAAUAGUUUUGACUGGCAAGCCAUUUCUACCUUAUAACAGCAGGACCUGCCUAGAAGCAAAGUGACACGCGGGAUAUGGGACAUGCUGCCUAAGUGGGUGUCAAUUCCCUUGAGUUUGAGCAGAACAGUGGAAUGUCUCAGGUCAGAGGUUCAGACACUGUGUAGCUGGCUUGCCCCAGGGAACCAUAUUGUAGGGACACUUAAAAACAACCAGUGCACGAAAUAUCCUGGAUCUAAGAUUGGUUUUGUUCAUCUCAAGUGUACUCCAAAAAGCAGAAUUAGAGGAAAUUUUAGCUCCUGAAAUUUUUGUUUCUCAUUCCCAUCCCUCCUCCUCUACUUAUUCCCCCACCUCCCUCCUAUCCCUUUUCCUCUUAAGCACACGUAGGCAUAAAGAGACAUAUGAGGGGUGGUAUUGCUUCUUUAAAGCCAAACAUGAAUAUACCACAUGAAAGUAUUUUCUAGUGGUUGAAAAGAAGAAAAGCAUUCAGGAUAAUGUAUUUACAAAACUGUCGGGAAUGAGGAAGUAAUAAUUUUUUAGUUCCUUUAUUUAAAAAGCCAUGAAAGGAAACAAUCUUAAGGAGAUAAGUUUUUUUUUUCUUUUUUUUUUUGAGCUGUCUUUUUAAGCCUUGGCUAUUGCUAUUUGCAACUUCUUUCUUUAUCCACUAAUUAUUUUUAAAAUUAGUCAUUUAUCAACCCUAAUCUUUAGGGUUUAAAGAUAAAAAUUUAAAACUAGCUUACUGAUCAUAGCACCAUUAUGUCACAAUUAGAGCAUAUCUUGUGGCCUGCAUAACUAAGGAGACAGUAUCCCAAUUUGCUGAGGAAAGCUCCAGUUUACAUCUGUGUCCUCUGUUGUUCCGGUCUAAUCCUUAACAAUGCCCCUCCCUUCAGUUUAGACAAUGUGUUACAGGAUGCCCUGUUUGAGACCAUUGAUAGAAUUCCUGUCCUUCUGGUGCGCUCUCUCUCUCUCUCUCUCUCUCUCUGUGUGUGUGUGUGUGUCUCCCUCUGUAGUUUAGGCUGGCCUUGAACUCAGAGCAAUCCUCCUGCCUCAGCCUCCCAAGUGUUGGAAUUACAGAUAUGCGCCACCACACUUGUCCCAGAAUUCUUGUACCAUAUAUAAACCACUCUGAUAUUUUUUUAAAGCAAGCCACAUUAUCUUGUCAUGGUUUGGAACCAUCUAAAAAGUUAAUCCUUUGAAUAGCAUUAUUAACCCAACCUACAGUGUAGUAGUAUUUUGAGUGCUUCAUUUAUUAUUUUUAUAGCUGUGAACCUUCAUAGAAGAAACUUUUAAGGUUUCUCUUUAAUAAUUAAGGCAUCUAGUUUUUUUUUAACUGCCAAUUCCUAUUGUCAAAAAGAAAUGAAUUCUAUCGAAUUUAUGGGACUUCCUACCCCUUUAUUGAUUUCACUUGAGUCAGUGAAGAAGCGAGAUUAGGAGAGGGAAAAGACCCAGAAAAGAGAAAAGUGCAUUUGUAGCGUGACUCCUAGAAGGGGAACUGCUGUGCCCCAGGCUAUAGGGGGUCGUACUUAGUAUUAAAUGCUUGCCAGUCUCUUUCCAGAGAGAUUGUGCUGAUUUACUUUUGUACCAAUAAUGCUGGAGCGUCUUAUUUCCUACUGCUUCUGAAAACCCACCGCAUAUGUAAACUUUUUAAUAUUUGCCAUUCCAACAGGGCAAAAUAUGGAACUUUAGGGUGUUUUAUUUAUUUAUUUAUUUAUUCAUUUUGGUACCGGGAAUCAAACUCAGGUCCUUGAGCUUGCACGGCAGGCGGUGCAACCGCUGAACUAAAUCCCGGGCCCACUUUAGGGUGUUUUAACUUGGAUCUCUCAGAGGAUGGACACCUUUUUAUAUUUAAAUCCAAGUUUAACAUGUUUUGCCUCUGGGAACUGUAAGUGCACGUACUUUGCCAAUAGGUCUUUUACUUAUUGAUUUGUAGGACCUCUUUUUAUGAGGUCAAUCAGAAGAUUCAGUUAACAAUAGAAUAAAUUAUGCUUUUCAAUAGAUGUUUGGAUGAUGAAUCACCUUUGAGUAUUGCCCUCCCGCACCUGCUUACUUGAUCCACUAAUCAUGUAACUUGUUACACGUGUCUAAAACUACUGUUUUAAAUCACCUAUGGGCAGAAUGCUGUGUAGAAUCAUUUGCCUCGAGAGUACCAUGUUUCUUUCAUUUUAUAGUUCAUUUCAAUAUGGAGAAGAGCUGGGAGUUAAAAAAUGAUGAAUUAGGUGAAUGUGGUGGCUGGAACACUUUUACUGGUCUGAAAUUACUACCACAUGGUGAGUGGUGUGCAUGGAUUCUGAAAUUACUACCACAUGGUGAGUGGUGUGCUUAAAAUGGAGAAUUUUCAGACAAUGCUAUGGACAUGCUGGACUGUGAUAAUUGCUUACAAUUCAGUAGCCUCUUGAGUGCUGCAGGUGAUUAUGAAAGCUCUACCAUGGAUAUCCCUCAAACUUCUGGGCUUGCAUUUCUUGUAAGGAGAUCACAUUUAUUUUGCAACAGUUUCACUGAGAUAUAAUUCACAUUCCGCACAACUCCCCAAUUUAAAGUGUAUGGCUCAGUGGGGUUUUUUUGUAUAUUCAGAGUUGUGCAACCAUCACCAUACUCAGUUUUAGAACUUUUUCAUUAUUCCCAAACAAGCCCUGUACCCUUCAGUGUGGGCCCCCACCUUCCCUGUGUCCUCAGCUUGAAGCAACCACAGAUCUUUCAGUUGCUACAUAUUUGCCAUUCCAGAUAUUCUAUGUAAAUGGAACCAUACAAUAUGUGGCCUUUUGUGACUGGUUUUCAAAAUUUAGCAUGUUUUCAAGGUUCAUCCAUGUUGGAAUAUGUAUUUGUACUUAGUUUCUUUUUAUUGUGCAAAAAUGUUCUGUUGUUUGGAUAUACCACAUUUUUUUAAUAUACUCAUUGGCUGGUGGAUAUUUCAUUGUUUCCACUUUUGGCUGUUUUGAAUAGUGCUGCUAUGAAUAUUUGUGCACAUGUUUUUGAGUGGAUGUAUAUUUUCAUGUGUCUAGGGUACAGUAUAUAUCUACUGUGGAACUGCUGUGUCAUUUGGCAACUCUGCAUUUAAUGUUUCGAGAAACUGCUCAGUGACUUCCUAUGUAACAUACCAGUGUUCCAAUUAAUUCACACCUCACCAACAUUGUUAUAUCCUGGUUUUGGGGUGUGUGCAUGUGUGUGCGUGUGCAUGUGUGCAUGUGCAUUAAUUAGUUUUCAC